rnacentral:rRNA from 1 species
UACGUAGGAGGCGAGCGUUGUCCGGAAUUACUGGGCGUAAAGAGCGCGUAGGCGGCACGGUACGACCUGUGUGAAAGCCCCCCGGCUCAACUGGGGAGGGUCACAGGUAACGCCGAGCUAUGAGUGCAGGAGAGGGAAGUGGAACUCCGGGAGUAGCGGUGAAAUGCGUAGAGACCCGGAGGAACACCAGUGGCGAAGGCGGCUUCCUGGUCUGCGACUGACGCUGUGGCGCGAAAGCUAGGGGAGCGAACGGG